AGGGCUGUUGCUGACCUUUAAAGGGUUGUGCACGCCUAAGCACUCUUAAACAUCCAUCUCACCCAUUGUGCAUCACCGCGUGGGCCCCCUUUGCAAAGAGGGCUUGCGUUUUUUCACAUAAAACUUGAUACAGUAUAGAAUAUUAUAUUUUGCUAUUAUAUGCAAUUAAUACAACUUUCAACAACGGAUCUCUUGGCUCUCGCAUCGAUGAAGAACGCAGCGAAAUGCGAUACGUAAUGUGAAUUGCAGAAUUCAGUGAAUCAUCGAAUCUUUGAACGCAACUUGCGCCCCUUGGCAUUCCGAGGGGCACACCUGUUUGAGUGUCGUGAAAUCCUCAAAACCUUUUGUUUGAUUGUUUCUGGUCAGGAAAAGGUUUUUGGACUUGGAGGUUUAAUGCUGCUUUUGUCUUGGAAGCAAGCUCCUCUGAAAUAAAUUAGUAGGAUCUGCUUUGCUGAUUCUUAAUGUAAUAAGAUACUUCUACAUUUUGAAUUUGGCAUUGUCUCUUAGAUGCCUGCUUCUAACUGUCUUAUGGACAAUAAUG
rnacentral:rRNA from 1 species